rnacentral:lncRNA from 1 species
AGAUGAUGCAAAUCCAGCGCAAAGAAACUCGGAUGAAUUAGCUAACUACUAUGCUGUGCCAGCACAUGUGAUUUUUUCCCCCAUGUUUUAAAAUGCAAUGUAUCCUUCUUAGGGUCUAAAGGGACACCAAGUAUGGUGGUUGAUGUGAGCUGAAAUGGGGUGGGGAGAUUCAGAGCCCCACAGAGGCAGCCCAUCUCCCGGAGACUCGGUAACAGGAAGAUGUGGCCUUCAGCAACUCCCCAAGGGCCUGGGACUCCGUGUCACUGCAGCAUCAGGGCUGUGGGACUCGAAGGGCUUCCUGAACAGCACCCGAUGUGAGCAGACUACAUGGUCACCAGGGGGGACUCUGACCCCACAGCAAGCUGGCACUGGCCUGACAGAUGCUCACCAAACACCUCUAACACCUUGCCACGUUAGUUUGCCGGGAAGGCAGCCUGCGGAGGUCCAGCCGAGAGGACUUGGUUUCAAGCAGGGGUGUGCCGGAGCUGGCUUGUCAAGGCUACUGAGAGCCAACCGUUACAUCUUCAGGAAUUUUGCAAACUGGAUGUUAAACCAUUGGUGGCUUGAAAUCAGCCAUGGCGUGGGAGUAUUUAUUCCAUGGAAAGUGACAAUCCAUACAAAUGAGGCCUUUCUUUUUGCCCAGGGAGCCGGUUUACCAGCUACUUACUAGCCAUGUGACUUUGGGUGAGAAAGCAUAAUAUUUCCCAGCUUCAUUUCCUCAUUUGUAAAAUGGUCAUUCAAUUCAAUGCUAUUCUCCUCACAGCCUUAUUUAGGGGAUUAAAAGCACUUUGUAUACUGCCUCUUCCAUGUUAAGAGCUCAAACCAUGGCUGCUCUUGUUGUUAUUGUUGGAUGCUGUUAGGUAAUAGUAUCUACAUAUACUGAGCACUCAGAAUCUUUGCUUGCAAAGUAGGUAUUAUCAUCUCCAUAUUAUAGGUGAUGAAACUGAGGUUUGAAGAGAUCAAGUUACUUGCCCAAGACCAUAAACAUAGUAACCACUGGAGCUAAAAGCUGCCAGACCACAGAGCCCGUGUACUCUCUGCUGCCCAGCCUGCCUCUGGACUGGUCGGUGGCGGCCUGUAAAGCUGUGUUGGUGGGGAGGGGAUCUCGUUGCUUCCCUUCUUGUGUUCUUAUGGCUGGACUAAUAAUAAAAUUGACACAAGACCAGAUUAACA